UGAGUACGAGAUGCUACGGCAUCGAAGCAGUCUAUGUCAUACUUCCAAGAAAAGCUUGCACUGUCAGAAACAGAUAAUGCCUGUACCAUAACCGACACAGGUGGGUAGGUAGAGUAUACUAAGGGGCGCGAGAUAACUCUCUCUAAGGAACUCGGCAAAAUGACUCCGUAACUUCGGGAGAAGGAGUGCCUUAUUUUUAAGGUUGCAAUAACAAGAUCCAAGCAACUGUUUACCAAAAACACAGGUCUCCGCUAAGUCGUAAGACGAUGUAUGGGGGCUGACGCCUGCCCAGUGCCAGAAGGUUAAAGAAGUCGGUUAGCAUUCGCGAAGCUGGUAACUGAAGCCCUGGUGAACGGCGGCCGUAACGAUAACGGUCCUAAGGUAGCGAAAUUCCUUGUCGGGUAAGUUCCGACCCGCACGAAAGGCGUAAUGAUUUGGAUACUGUCUCGGAGAGGGGCUCGGUGAAAUAGACUUGUCUGUGAAGAUGCGGACUACCUGCACCUGGACAGAAAGACCCUAUGAAGCUUUACUGUAACUUGAAAUUGAAAUUGGACUUUAUUUGCGCAGUAUAGGUGGGAGGCGUUGAAAAUAUUCUUGCGGGAAUAUUGGAGCCAUCAGUGAGAUACCACUCUUGUAAUGUUAGAUUUCUAACUUUAUAUCAUUAUCUGGUUAAAGAACAGUUUCAGGCGGGCAGUUUAACUGGGGCGGUCGCCUCCCAAAUGGUAACGGAGGCGCACAAAGGUUUCCUCUGAACGGGUAGAAAUCGUAUCUAGAGUGUAAAGGCAUAAGGAAGCUUGACUGUGAGACCUACAAGUCGAGCAGGGACGAAAGUCGGUCUUAGUGAUCUGACGGUGCUGAGUGGAAAGGCCGUCACUCAACGGAUAAAAGUUACUCUAGGAUAACAGGCUGAUCUCCCCCAAGAGUUCACAUCGACGGGGAGGUUUGGCACCUCGAUGUCGGCUCAUCGCAUCCUGGGGCGGUAGUACGUCCCAAGGGUUGGGCUGUUCGCCCAUGAAAGCGGUACGCGAGCUGGGUUCAGAACGUCGUGAGACAGUUCGGUCCAUAUCCGGUGUAGGCGUUAGAAUAUUGAGAGGAGCCUUCUUUAGUACGAGAGGACCGAGAAGGACAUACCUCUGGUGUACCAGUUAUCGUGCCAACGGUAAACGCUGGGUAGCUAUGUAUGGAGUGGAUAACCGCUGAAAGCAUCUAAGUGGGAAGCCCACCUCAAGAUAAGUAUUCUCAU
rnacentral:rRNA from 1 species